CGAGCGCUUGAAGCGCUUGCGGCGGCGCAGGAAGCUGCCGCUCUCGAACAUGUCCUCGGCGUUGGGGUCGAGCGCCCAGUAGUUGCCCUUGCCCGGGCGGCCGGCCUCGCGCGGGAUCUUGAGGAAGCAGUCGUUGAGCGUCAGGUUGUGGCGGAUGCUGUUCUGCCACUUCUUGGGGUUGUCGCGGUAGAAGGGGAAGCGCUCGGUGAUGAACUUGUAGAUGCCGCCCAGCGUGAGGCGGCGCUCCGGCGCGUGCGCGAUGGCCAUGGCGAUGAGCGCGAUGUAGCUGUAGGGCGGCUUUCCGCGCUGCAGGGGGCGCUUGCGCCGACGCCCGCCCGCGCCGCGCCCCGCGGCCUCCGCCGGGACCCCGCUCGCGGGCUCGCCGCGCUCCUCCUUCACGGCCGCCAGCGCCUCGGUCUGCGGCGGCGGCGGCCGGCUCUCGGCCGUCAUGGCGCGGCCGUCCCGCGCGCCCCGGGGCGUCCCCGCCGCCCGCGGCUGUCGAGGGGCGGGGGCGGGUCUGCGCGCCGGGCCCUCGGCGGGGAGCUCCUCGCAGCGCGGCGUCCCCGGCAGGGCUGCGCCCGGGCUCGGCGCCCUCGGCCUGCGGAGAGGCGCGGAGUGUCCCGCCCACCGACGGCUCCGCUCGCGUCCCGGAGCGCGGGGCCGGGCCCGGUGCGCGCUGCUGCCGGACGGUGCGGGGGCGCCUGCAGCCGGCCUGUGCUUCCCGCCGACCAGGCCGGCCGUCGAGGUCGCGCGCGGAGGAGGUGCGGGCGCGGGGGCCCGAGGCCGGGGCCCUCGGGGCGGAGGCGCACCCGCGGGGGCUGCCUAGGCUGCGGCGCUGCGGAGCGCGAGGCGGCGAGGGGCACGGGUAGGCCGGCCACUGUUCUCUCCUCCGCGUUGGCCUGCGGCCGCCGAAACCGCGGGCGAGGCGCUCCCCUGCACACACCCGGACCGGCUCCUCCCUCCGCCGGCUUCUCCUCCUUAAAGGCGCCAGGAAGCGUGGGGCGGCGCCCGGCCCCCCCCCCCCCCCCCGACCGCCCGCCCCCUGGGCCCGGCGCACCUCUGCAGGUGGGAGCCGCGGUGCAGGCGAGGCGGGAGCCCCGCAACGUCAGGGCGGGGAGGGCUCGAGAGCUCGCCGGGCUGGCCUCUCCUGCGCGCCGACGGGGACACUGA
rnacentral:lncRNA from 1 species